CUGAGGUCUACAGAGAGGACUGAGGUCUACAGACAGGACUGAGGUCUACAGAGAGGACUGAAGUCUACAGAGAGGACUGAGGUCUACAGAGAGGACUGAAGUCUACAGAGAGGACUGAAGUUUACAGAGAGGACUGAGGUCUACAGAGAGGACUGAAGUUUACAGAGAGGACUGAGGUCUACAGAGAGGACUGAAGUCUACAGACAGGACUGAGGUCUACAGACAGGACUGAGGUCUACAGAGAGGACUGAAGUUUACAGAGAGGACUGAGGUCUACAGACAGGACUGAGGUCUACAGAGAGGACUGAAGUUUACAGAAAGGACUGAAGUCUACAGACAGGACUGAAGUCUACAGACAGGACUGAGGUCUACAGACAGGACUGAGGUCUACAGAGAGGACUGAAGUUUACAGAAAGGACUGAAGUCUACAGACAGGACUGAAGUCUACAGACAGGACUGAGGUCUACAGAGAGGACUGAGGUCUACAGAGAGGACUGAAGUCUACAGAGAGGACUGAGGUCUACAGACAGGACUGAGGUC